GAUGAACGCUGGCGGCGUGCUUAACACAUGCAAGUCGAACGGAAAGGCCCAAGCUUGCUUGGGUACUCGAGUGGCGAACGGGUGAGUAACACGUGGGUGAUCUGCCCUGCACUUCGGGAUAAGCCUGGGAAACUGGGUCUAAUACCGGAUAGGACCACAUUUUGGAUGGUGUGGUGGAAAGUUUUUCGGUGUGGGAUGAGCUCGCGGCCUAUCAGCUUGUUGGUGGGGUAAUGGCCUACCAAGGCGUCGACGGGUAGCCGGCCUGAGAGGGUGUACGGCCACAUUGGGACUGAGAUACGGCCCAGACUCCUACGGGAGGCAGCAGUGGGGAAUAUUGCACAAUGGGCGCAAGCCUGGUGCAGCGACGCCGCGUGGGGGAGGACGGCCUUCGGGUUGUAAACUCCUUUCGCUAGGGACGAAGCGUUAUGUGACGGUACCUGGAGAAGAAGCACCGGCUAACUACGUG
rnacentral:rRNA from 1 species